AUAUUGGUCAAUGGACGAGAGUCUGAACCAGCCAAGUCGCGUGAGGGAAGACUGCCCUAUGGGUUGUAAACCUCUUUUAUAAGGGAAGAAUAAGUUCUACGUGUAGAAUGAUGCCUGUACCUUAUGAAUAAGCAUCGGCUAACUCCGUGCCAGCAGCCGCGGUAAUACGGAGGAUGCGAGCGUUAUCCGGAUUUAUUGGGUUUAAAGGGUGCGUAGGCGGUUUAUUAAGUUAGUGGUUAAAUAUUUGAGCUAAACUCAAUUGUGCCAUUAAUACUGGUAAACUGGAGUACAGACGAGGUAGGCGGAAUAAGUUAAGUAGCGGUGAAAUGCAUAGAUAUAACUUAGAACUCCGAUAGCGAAGGCAGCUUACCAGACUGUAACUGACGCUGAUGCACGAGAGCGUGGGUAGCAAACAGGAUUAGAUACCCUGGUAGUCCACGCCGUAAACGAUGCUCACUGGUUCUGUGCGAUAUAUUGUACGGGAUUAAGCGAAAGUAUUAAGUGAGCCACCUGGGGAGUACGUCGGCAACGAUGAAACUCAAAGGAAUUGACGGGGGCCCGCACAAGCGGAGGAACAUGUGGUUUAAUUCGAUGAUACGCGAGGAACCUUACCUGGGUUUAAAUGGGAAAUGUCGUAUUUGGAAACAGAUAUUCUCUUCGGAGCGUUUUUCAAGGUGCUGCAUGGUUGUCGUCAGCUCGUGCCGUGAGGUGUCGGGUUAAGUGCCAUAACGAGCGCAACCCUUACCGUUAGUUGCUAGCAUGUAAUGAUGAGCACUCUAACGGGACUGCCACCGUAAGGUGAGAGGAAGGCGGGGAUGACGUCAAAUCAGCACGGCCCUUACACCCAGGGCUACACACGUGUUACAAUGGCCGGUACAGAGGGCUGCUACCAGGUGACUGGAUGCCAAUCUCAAAAGCCGGUCGUAGUUCGGAUUGGAGUCUGUAACCCGA
rnacentral:rRNA from 1 species